rnacentral:rRNA from 1 species
CACGUAGGGUGCGAGCGUUGUCCGGAAUUAUUGGGCGUAAAGAGCUCGUAGGCGGUGUGUCGCGUCGGUCGUGAAAACUUUCAGCUUAACUGGGAGCUUGCGGUCGAUACGGGCAUCACUGGAGUUCGGCAGGGGAGACUGGAAUUCCUGGUGUAGCGGUGAAAUGCGCAGAUAUCAGGAGGAACACCGGUGGCGAAGGCGGGUCUCUGGGCCGAUACUGACGCUGAGGAGCGAAAGCGUGGGGAGCGAACAGG